GCCCGGUUAGCUCAAUCGGUAGAGCGUGAGACUCUUAAUCUCAAGGUUGCGGGUGAGUGCAAAGAUUUAAGAAAAAAUGUUUCUAGAACGAAAUGAUUUUAACCUCUUACCAUAGGUUCGACCCCCGCAUCGGGCU